GGUUUUGAGACUGAUAGGGAAGAUGCAUCAAGUGGGAAAGAUGAAAAGGUCUCUGGGAGGAGAGUGACAAGUGCUCG
rnacentral:rRNA from 1 species